rnacentral:rRNA from 1 species
UUAGAUCACCGAAGUCAAGCACCAUUGGGCGCGGUCAGUAUUUGGGUGGGUGACCACAUGGGAACACCGCGUGCCGUU